rnacentral:rRNA from 1 species
UACAGAGGUCCCAAGCGUUGUUCGGAUUCACUGGGCGUAAAGGGUGCGUAGGUGGCGCUGUAAGUCGGGUGUGAAAUUUCGGAGCUUAACUCCGAAACUGCAUUCGAUACUGCGGUGCUUGAGGACUGGAGAGGAGACUGGAAUUCAUGGUGUAGCAGUGAAAUGCGUAGAGAUCAUGAGGAAGACCAGUGGCGAAGGCGGGUCUCUGGACAGUUCCUGACACUGAGGCACGAAGGCCAGGGGAGCAAACGGG